GCGGGGCAAAACGGGUGAAGAACCCAGAUGUUCUCUUUCUUAACCGGAUGCUAUCACUGUUGGCGUAUUAGGAGAAAGGUGGAAUCUGCUCAGUUAUUCCUGACAGACUCAGAGGGCCAUCCACAAGAACUAGGAUUACCGUGAGGAAUGCAAAAGUCUGGUAGUUUCCCAGGCCGUGGGCGUGAGGCUAUCAUGGGAACUUCUCCAAUGUUGAUAGAGAAACAGAAUCACACAAGUGAAAUGAUCUGCCUGGGGUCUCUAAAGCUGAUUAGCAGCGCAGCCAGAAUUAGAAUCGUCUGCUUUGGAGGUCAUUUCACCAUGUCGCCUGUCUGGUAGAGGAAUGUCUGCUGGGUGCUUAGAGUCAUCAACAAUCCACAAUUUUAGA